rnacentral:rRNA from 1 species
CCUACGGGGGGCAGCAGUGAGGAAUAUUGGUCAAUGGACGAGAGUCUGAACCAGCCAAGUAGCGUGAAGGAUGACUGCCCUAUGGGAUGUAAACUUCUUUUAUAUGGGAAUAAAAUGUUCCACGUGUGGGAUUUUGUAUGUACCAUAUGAAUAAGGAUCGGCUAACUCCGUGCCAGCAGCCGCGGUAAUACGGAGGAUCCGAGCGUUAUCCGGAUUUAUUGGGUUUAAAGGGUGCGUAGGUGGAUUGUUAAGUCAGUUGCGAAAGUUUGCGGCUCAACCGUAAAAUUGCAGUUGAAACUGGCAGUCUUGAGUACAGUAGAGGUGGGCGGAAUUCGUGGUGUAGCGGUGAAAUGCUUAGAUAUCACGAAGAACUCCGAUUGCGAAGGCAGCUCACUGGACUGCAACUGACACUGAGGCUCGAAAGUGUGGGUAUCAAACAGGAUUAGAUACCCCUGUAGUC